rnacentral:misc_RNA from 1 species
AAGUCGUAACAAGGUUUCCGUAGGUGAACCUGCGGAAGGAUCAUUACCAAAUCCAAAUUUACCUAACCCCGUGUGAACUAUUGUUUUAGUCUGUCUUUGGGAAGAAAAAUAUUUUUAUUGUAUUAAAAAAAGACAUUGAUCUUUUUUUGUGUCCAAUUUAGUAUUUUUUUUCCCAAAAGAAUCCAGCUCGUUUGGAUUCUUUGAACCCACUUUAUUAAACCACUUGAUUCAUUGUUGGAAUUUUUUUAUAAUUUUAAAAUAAAAAAACAACUUUUAACGGCGGAUCUCUUGGCUCGUG